UGUUAAUUGUUUUUUUUCAUGAGUUGGAAACAAAAACAGAGAGUUAGAAGUUAGAAGAAUAGAGAGAGAGGAACGGAGAGAGAGGGGAAAUAAGAGCAGAGAGAGAGAGAGAGAGAGAGAGAGAGAGAGAGAGAAGGGGCUGAAGUUAUAUUUGUGUUGGAGGAGCCUUGAAGAUGUAAACCCAAGACACCCAAGCGAGGAAAGGAGAGGAGGCUCAAGAAUUUGUGUAGGGAUUCAUCAAAUUGAAGACUUAAGGUGAGCAGUAGGAUGCCCAACCCCAACCGUAAUGAACCCAAGAAAGAAUGUCAAGUUUGUGAAGUCAACCAUGACACGCCUCACGAACGAGGCCUUACUUUCAGAACUUUCAUUUUGACCCUUUUGUCUUCUUUUGAUGGUCAUGUUUGACUUUAUCUGUAUAUAAGCUAUAGUUUUGUAGAAAUAUAGUAUUACAUGGAUCUAGACAUAGAAUGUCUUUUAUGUGGGUAUGUUUGGUGUGAUUUAUUAACAUAAGAAAUGUUUUUGUUCAUUCCAUGUAUGCACAAACUCAUUGGACAAUUAUUAUCUUUUGCUUCC